rnacentral:rRNA from 1 species
GAAGUAAAAGUCGUAACAAGGUCUCCGUUGGUGAACCAGCGGAGGGAU